CAGUAUGGUCUAAGUCUAAACAAGAUUGUGGGAGAAUGACUUUACAAAUUGUAAUUGUAGGUCUAGACCCCCUGCAGAAAAACAAUAUAAGAGCAAAACCCUUGUACAAUAUGCUAAAAGAUAAUGCCAAUACAGAUAAGCUACUCUGGACAAAAGGAAGCUGAAAACAGUUGGAACCUGUUUAAAAAAAAAAUGCUCUCACACAAGCGCCUGUGCUAGCUGC